ensembl:snRNA U6 U6 spliceosomal RNA
GUACUUGCUCUGGCAGUACAUCAACUAAAAUUGGAGCGAUACAGAGAAGAUUAGCAUGGCCCCUGCGCAAAAAAUGCCAGCCGAUCUGCGAGGCUGAGCCGGGUCCG